rnacentral:rRNA from 1 species
AGUGUACGCUGGCGGUAGGCCUAACACAUGCAAGUCGAACGGCAGCACAGAGGAGCUUGCUCCUUGGGUGGCGAGUGGCGGACGGGUGAGGAAUACAUCGGAAUCUACUCUGUCGUGGGGGAUAACGUAGGGAAACUAACGCUAAUACCGCAUACGACCUACGGGUGAAAGCAGGGGAUCUUCGGACCUUGCGCGAUUGAAUGAGCAGAGGUCGGAUUAGCUAGUUGGGGGGGUCAAGGCCCACCAAGGCUACGAUCCGUAGCUGGUCUGAGAGGAUGAUCUGCCACACGGGAACUGAGACACGGUGCAGACUCCUACGGGAGGCAGCAGUGGGGAAUAUUGGACAAUGGGCGCAAGCCUGAUCCAGCCAUACCGCGUGGGUGAAGGAGGCCUUCGGGUUGUAAAGCCCUUUUGUUGGGAAAGAAAUCCAUCUGGUUAAUACCCGGGUGGGAUGACGGUACCCAAAGAAUAAGCACCGGCUAACUUCGUGCCAGCCGCCGCCGUAA